GACGGGGGGAGCAAGCGUUGUUCGGAAUCACUGGGCGUAAAGGGCGUGUAGGCGGUCAAGCAAGUGGAAUGUGAAACCCCCCGGCUCACCCGGGGAACGGCAUUCCAAACUGCUUGGCUUGAGUACGGGAGAGGAUAGGGGAAUUCCUGGUGUAGCGGUGAAAUGCGUAGAUAUCAGGAGGAACACCGGUGGCGAAGGCGCCUAUCUGGCCCGAUACUGACGCUGAGGCGCGAAAGCUAGGGGAGCAAACGGG
rnacentral:rRNA from 1 species